AAUAAUUAUUGAGAAGGAUACUCUAUGUAAUUAAUUAAUUUAAUUACUAAGGAGUUGACAAAUGACUGUAACCUUUUAAUGAAGAAAAAGAGCUGAGGACAUUUAUGUUGUAUUUUUGAGUAAUUAUCUUCUCGAAAACAUUUUUUUUUGUUUGUUUUUGUUGAUUCCUUAUAAUCCAAGGUUACCUAAGGACAUUUUUGUUUGCUCUAUUGUGUUUGUUUUGUUGUCAUCCAGCUGCCAGUGACCAUUAGAGCCACUGCGCACUAGUGCACUUUAGCUUUUGUUAUAUUAGCUGUGCGCUCGAUGGAAACAUUUGUCAGAAAAAAGCAGAGGACUUUAUGGAGGACACCAAUACACACAUCAUCAUUCGCAUGGAAUGGAGGAGUUCCGUGAGUAUGUGUAUGUGUGUGUGUGUGUGUCUAGAGGCUUCAACUUCCAGUCAGAUGACAGGCUUGACAAUAGGUAAGUCUACAGCUGACAAGAUGAUUGACACAAUUACCAGGUGGAUUGUGAGCGACUGUACACUGAAUAAUAUUGUUGAGGACAUCGGCUUCACCGACAUUUUGAAAGCAACUACAUUUAGCUACAUUUUGAAUUAUGCUUGUUUUUUCCAUAUUAUUUAUACCAUUAUUCAAAUCAGUCACAAAUAAAAACAGGUGUGUGUCACACAAGAAAAACAUCUGUUUGUUUGUUUACUUCAGCAACUCACAGAAUGUUGAUUUUACUUGCUUAUUCAUGUUCAUUUACAAUCACGAUGAAUCAUGAUUUAUCACUAAUUAUUUUUGGUUUGAAUUAUUACACAAUUAUUUUAUAUGCAAGUUUAUUUGAGGGAUUUUUAGUAUUUUCUUUGAAAUGCAGCGUUCCCUCUGGUGGCUCAAACUCCAAAGCUACAUUAUACAGAAUUAUUUGGUUAAUAUAAAAUAAUGAAUUUUAUGUUUUAGGUUUUUUAUGUCACUAAUUUUCAAAUUCUGCUACCUGGAAAACAGAAACAAUUUGAACUAAAUGAACACUUUAUUACACAAACACUAGUUACAAAAGCAUUUUCCCAAGUCUGGAGAACUUUUACGACACCCUCGCUCUAAAAGGAGCCAAUUUUUUCUCUUUACAAUAUUGAGCAGUAUUUCAUCGAGUUUAUGAUGGGCGGGUUAAUUUCCUCAGAUACAGGGUUGUCAAAGUACAGGUCUGGACCGUUGGUUUCAUCAAAUAAAGAGGAAGUGCUGACAUUACCUUCAACAUAGUUGCAGAAUCACUUGAUGUACUUGGCGUAAGGCUACAGGUAAAUAAAACUGAACAGCAAUAGCUUCUGGGAAAUUGCAGUCUUAAGCUUUUUUUUUUUUUUUCUCCAAAUAAUGCCAGUUUUAAAUUGCAGCCUUGGAACAAAUCCUUGUCUGUACUACACAACAGACGCUGCAUCCUGAAUAAUGUACAUGUGGAGUGUUUGUUAGCAGGCACCACCCUGUCUGCACAUCCACGGAGACUGAGCCGGAAAUUUAAAAAGGCUACGACAAUGAAGUCAUUUUAGCAUGCUCAGGGGAGGCCAUCAUGGAUUUCAACUUCAAAUCGGAUGACAAAGGAGAGCUUAAUCUGUCAGCCCACUUGAGGUUCGGCAGAAACUAUAAAUCUGUUCCUGAUCCACGGCCUGGCAGGAUAUUAUAACAUUACUGCAGAUAUAGGAAAAGGACAACGUUGAGGAUAUACAGGUGAUGGACACUGAGUAGAGCUGUAACUGUCUCACUGAGACUGAUGUGUCACUUUAUAUCACCUAGUUAGGACCCUGGAGACUGGCCGUUUCUGGUUUAUCUCUUCACACGACACCACAAGUCCUGCGACGUCCAUAAAUGAAUAUAUUGUUGGCUGGUAGUAGAAGAAGACGGAAGAGGAUGCACACAAACAUAUUUAAAUUUAUUUCAUUUUAUUCUACUAAAUUUUCAUUAGAUUUUGUUUAUUCUAGUUUAUAAAAUUGCUGUCAA